rnacentral:rRNA from 2 species
CGAACGCUGGCGGCGUGCCUAAUACAUGCAAGUCGAACGAACUCUGGUAUUGAUUGGUGCUUGCAUCAUGAUUUACAUUUGAGUGAGUGGCGAACUGGUGAGUAACACGUGGGAAACCUGCCCAGAAGCGGGGGAUAACACCUGGAAACAGAUGCUAAUACCGCAUAACAACUUGGACCGCAUGGUCCGAGCUUGAAAGAUGGCUUCGGCUAUCACUUUUGGAUGGUCCCGCGGCGUAUUAGCUAGAUGGUGGGNUAACGGCUCACCAUGGCAAUGAUACGUAGCCGACCUGAGAGGGUAAUCGGCCACAUUGGGACUGAGACACGGCCCAAACUCCUACGGGAGGCAGCAGUAGGGAAUCUUCCACAAUGGACGAAAGUCUGAUGGAGCAACGCCGCGUGAGUGAAGAAGGGUUUCGGCUCGUAAAACUCUGUUGUUAAAGAAGAACAUAUCUGAGAGUAACUGUUCAGGUAUUGACGGUAUUUAACCAGAAAGCCACGGCUAACUACGUGCCAGCAGCCGCGGUAAUACGUAGGUGGCAAGCGUUGUCCGGAUUUAUUGGGCGUAAAGCGAGCGCAGGCGGUUUUUUAAGUCUGAUGUGAAAGCCUUCGGCUCAACCGAAGAAGUGCAUCGGAAACUGGGAAACUUGAGUGCAGAAGAGGACAGUGGAACUCCAUGUGUAGCGGUGAAAUGCGUAGAUAUAUGGAAGAACACCAGUGGCGAAGGCGGCUGUCUGGUCUGUAACUGACGCUGAGGCUCGAAAGUAUGGGUAGCAAACAGGAUUAGAUACCCUGGUAGUCCAUACCGUAAACGAUGAAUGCUAAGUGUUGGAGGGUUUCCGCCCUUCAGUGCUGCAGCUAACGCAUUAAGCAUUCCGCCUGGGGAGUACGGCCGCAAGGCUGAAACUCAAAGGAAUUGACGGGGGCCCGCACAAGCGGUGGAGCAUGUGGUUUAAUUCGAAGCUACGCGAAGAACCUUACCAGGUCUUGACAUACUAUGCAAAUCUAAGAGAUUAGACGUUCCCUUCGGGGACAUGGAUACAGGUGGUGCAUGGUUGUCGUCAGCUCGUGUCGUGAGAUGUUGGGUUAAGUCCCGCAACGAGCGCAACCCUUAUUAUCAGUUGCCAGCAUUAAGUUGGGCACUCUGGUGAGACUGCCGGUGACAAACCGGAGGAAGGUGGGGAUGACGUCAAAUCAUCAUGCCCCUUAUGACCUGGGCUACACACGUGCUACAAUGGAUGGUACAACGAGUUGCGAACUCGCGAGAGUAAGCUAAUCUCUUAAAGCCAUUCUCAGUUCGGAUUGUAGGCUGCAACUCGCCUACAUGAAGUCGGAAUCGCUAGUAAUCGCGGAUCAGCAUGCCGCGGGUGAAUACGUUCCCGGGCCUUGUACACACCGCCCGUCACACCAUGAGAGUUUGUAACACCCAAAGUC